rnacentral:rRNA from 1 species
UACGUAGGGUGCAAGCGUUAAUCGGAAUUACUGGGCGUAAAGCGUGCGCAGGCGGUUUUGUAAGUCUGUCGUGAAAGCCCCGGGCUCAACCUGGGAAUUGCGAUGGAGACUGCAAGGCUUGAAUCUGGCAGAGGGGGGUAGAAUUCCACGUGUAGCAGUGAAAUGCGUAGAGAUGUGGAGGAACACCGAUGGCGAAGGCA